AUGGGAAAGGUAAUGAUGUUCACUUUUCCAAGCACAUAUCCGAUGUCACAGGCUGUGGAAAAUUAUCUGACUGAACCUUUUCCGA